rnacentral:rRNA from 1 species
GACGAACGCUGGCGGCGUGCCUAAAACAUGCAAGUCGAACGAGGUAGCAAUAUCUAGUGGCGAACGGCGGAGUAAGACAUGAACAACGUGCCCUAAAGUCCGGGACAAACGCAGAAAUGCCAUAAAUACCGGAUGUGGCUGGGAGUCGGCAUCGACUUCCAAUUAAAGGUUUUUCGCUUUAGGAGCGGUUCAUGGCCUAUCAGGUAGUUGGUGGGGUAAUGGCCUACCAAGCCGACGACAGGUAACGGGUCUGAGAGGAUGAUCCGUCCGAGUGGGACUGAGACACGGCCCACACACCUACGGGUGGCAGCAGUUGGGAAUCUUGCACAAUGGGGGAAACCCUGAUGCAGCGACGCCGCGUGGAGGAUGAAGGGUCUAGGCCUGU